rnacentral:rRNA from 1 species
CCUACGGGUGGCAGCAGUCGAGAAUCAUUCACAAUGGGGGAAACCCUGAUGGUGCGAAGCCGCGUGGGGGAAUGAAGGUCUUCGGAUUGUAAACCCCUGUCAUGUGGGAGCAAAUUAAAAAGAUAGUACCACAAGAGGAAGAGCAGGCUAACUCUGUGCCAGCAGCCGCGGUAAUCCAGAGGUCUCAAGCAUUGUUCGGAGUCACUGGUCGUAAAGCGUGCGUAGGCUAUUGCGUAAGUCGUGUGUGAAAGGCGCCGGCUCAACCCGCGGACGGCACAUGAUACUGGGAGACUAGAGUAAUGGAGGGGGAACCGGAAUUCGCGGUGUAGCAGUGAAAUGCGUAGAUAUCGAGAGGAACACUCGUGGCGAAGGCGGGUUCCUGGACAUUAACUGACGCUGAGGCACGAAGGCCAGGGGAGCGAAAGGGAUUAGAUACCCCUGUAGUC